rnacentral:lncRNA from 1 species
AAAUUAUGUAAGCUAUUAAAUUAUUUUUUUUUUGUUGCUCUACCUAUAUAAUUUACCUCAAAUUUAAUUUUUGUAGGAAGUCUUAUUGGAUUUAAUCACUUGAAAUUUUGAAGUGUGAAUUCAUGGGUAAACAAGAAAAAUUAGAUUUUUUUUAAAAAAAAAAGAAAAGAAGCUCCUGAAUCGAUGAAUAUUGAGGAACAACAUUCUUCAAAAUCUCUUA